CUGUCUAUUAGUAACAUAUUUAACUUACUAAAGAGGUGUAAAUACCUCUAUAAUAAUAAAAGACGAGAAGACCCUAGAAAUUUUAUAUAAAGUGUAUUAUUUAUUUAUACUAUCAUUUUGUUGGGGCGACAGAAUUGCAACUAACCUAUUUUAAGUUAUACAUGAUGUUUUUAUAAAGACAGUAAAAAUUAGUCUAGGGAUAACAUUAUAAAAAUUUAAUAGUUUGUGACCUCGAUGUUGGACUAGGGAAGGUUUUAUUCAUAAGAUUAAAUCUCAUGUUCUGUUCCAACAAAUAUCCUUACCUGAUCUGAG
rnacentral:rRNA from 1 species